UACGUAGGGUGCGAGCGUUGUCCGGAAUUAUUGGGCGUAAAGAGCUCGUAGGCGGUCUGUCGCGUCGAUCGUGAAAACUUGGGGCUUAACCCUGAGCUUGCGGUCGAUACGGGCAUGACUGGAGUUCGGCAGGGGAGACUGGAAUUCCUGGUGUAGCGGUGAAAUGCGUAGAUAUCAAGAGGAACACCUGCGGCGAAGGCGGGUUGCUGGGCCGACACUGACGCUGAUGCGCGAAAGCUAGGGGAGCGAACGGG
rnacentral:rRNA from 1 species